rnacentral:rRNA from 1 species
AUAACAGUUGGAAACGACUGCUAAUACCGCAUAUGACACCAUUAUGGCAUACAGAAGGUGUUAAAAAGGUCCGUUUAGGAUCGCUAAAAGAUGAGGAUGCGGCGUAUUAGCUAGUAGGUAGGGUAAUGGCUUACUAGGCGAUGAUACGUAGCCGAACUGAGAGGUUGAUCGGCCACAUUGGGACUGAGAUACGGCCCAG